UUCGAUUCUGGCUCAGAUUGAACGCUGGCGGGAUGCUUUACACAUGCAAGUCGAACGGCAGCACGGACUUCGGUCUGGUGGCGAGUGGCGAACGGGUGAGUAAUGUAUCGGAACGUGCCUAGUAGCGGGGAUAACUACGCGAAAGCGUAGCUAAUACCGCAUACGCCCUUCGGGGAAAGCGGGGGACCUUCGGGCCUCGCACUAUUAGAGCGGCCGAUAUCGGAUUAGGCUAGCUGGUGGGGUAACGGCUCAUCAAGGCGACGAUCCGUAGCCAUCGAGAGGACGACCAGCCACUGGGACUGAGACACGGCCCAGACUCCUACGGGAGGCAGCAGUGGGGAAUUCUGGACAAUGGGGGAAACCUCGAUCCAGCCAUCCUGGGCGUGCGAUGAAGGCCUUCGGCCAGGAAGCACUUUGGCAGGAGAAGAAAUGGCACGGAUAAUACCCCGUGCAACUGACGGUACCUGCAGAAUAAGCACCGGCCAAUCACGUGCCAGCAGCCGCGGUAAUACGUAGGGUGCAAGCGUUAAUCGGAAUUACUGGGCGCAAAAGCGUGCGCAGGCGGUUCGGAAAGAAAGAUGAAAUCCCAGGAGCUUAACUUUGGAACUGCAUUUUUAACUGAGCUAGAGUGUGUCAGAGGGAGGUGGAAUUCCGUGCGUGUAGCAGUGAAAUGCGUAUAUGGAGUGAACACCGGAUGGCGAAGGCAGCCUCCUGAUAACACUGACGCUCAUGCAUCGAAAGCGUGGGGAGCAAACAGAUUAGAUACCCUGGUAGUCCACGCCCUAAACGAUGUCAACUUAGCUGUUGGGGCCUCCUGGGCCUGGUAGCGCAGCUAACGCGUGAAGUUGACCGCCUGGGGAGGCAUGGCCGCAAGAUUAAAACUCAAAGGAAUUGACGGGGACUGCAUUAAGCGGUGGAUGAUGUGGAUUAAUUCUGAUGCAACGCGAAAAAACUCGCCCACCCGAUAUGUCUGGAACUCUGGGAAGAGAUUUGGAGCGUCGCAAGCAGGAACCGGAACAGACAGAAAGCGUGGCUGUCGCUGUCGCCCGCAAGCCGAUGUUGGGCGAAACCCAACGAGGCAACUCCGACGGGUUGCUACGAAAGGGCACUCUAAUGAGACUGCCGGUGACAAACCGGAGGAAGGUGGGGAUGACGUCAGUCUCAUGGCCCUUAUGGGUAGGGCUUCACACGUCAUACAAUGGUCGGGACAGAGGGGUCGCCAACCCGCGAGGGGGAGCCAAUCCCAGAAACCCGAUCAGUCCGGAUCGCAGUCUGCAACUCGACUGCGUGAAGUCGGAAUCGCUAGUAAUCGCGGAUCAGCAUGUCGCGGUGAAUACGUUCCCGGCCUGCACACACCGCCCGUCACACCAUGGCGAGUGGGUUUACCAGAAGGAAGUUAGCCUAACCGUAAGGAGGGCGAUUACCACGGUAGGAUUCAUGACUGGGGUGAAGUCGCACAAGGUAG
rnacentral:rRNA from 1 species